GGAGGGUGUAAGCGUUAUUCGGAAUUAUUGGGCGUAAAGAGCGCGUAGGCGGUUUUUUAAGUCAGAUGUGAAAGCCCGAGGCUUAACCUCGGAAGUGCAUUUGAAACUAAGAGACUUGAGUAUGGGAGAGGGAAGUGGAAUUCCUGGUGUAGAGGUGAAAUUCGUAGAUAUCAGGAGGAACACCGGUGGCGAAGGCGACUUCCUGGACCAAUACUGACGCUGAGGCGCGAAGGCGUGGGGAGCAAACAGGAUUAGAUACCCUGGGUAGUCCACGCAGUAAACGGUGAACACUAGGUGUAGCGGGUAUUGACCCCCCUGCUGUGCCGAAGUUAACCGCAUUAAGUGUUCCGCCUGGGGAGUACGACCGCAAGGUUA
rnacentral:rRNA from 1 species